GACGAACGCUGGCGGCGUGCCUAAUACAUGCAAGUCGAGCGAAUCAAUAGGAGCUUGCUCCUGUUGGUUAGCGGCGGACGGGUGAGUAACACGUGGGCAACCUGCCUGUAAGACUGGGAUAACUUCGGGAAACCGGGGCUAAUACCGGAUAAUCCUUUUCCACUCAUGUGGGAAAGCUGAAAGUCGGUUUCGGCUGACACUUACAGAUGGGCCCGCGGCGCAUUAGCUAGUUGGUGAGGUAACGGCUCACCAAGGCGACGAUGCGUAGCCGACCUGAGAGGGUGAUCGGCCACACUGGGACUGAGACACGGCCCAGACUCCUACGGGAGGCAGCAGUAGGGAAUCUUCCGCAAUAGACGAAAGUCUGACGGAGCAACGCCGCGUGAGCGAUGAAGGCCUUCGGGUCGUAAAGCUCUGUUGUUAGGGAAGAAUAAGUAUCGGAGUAACUGCCGGUACCUUGACGGUACCUAACCAGAAAGCCACGGCUAACUACGUGCCAGCCGCCGCCGUAA
rnacentral:rRNA from 1 species